CCUACGGGAGGCAGCAGUAGGGAAUCUUCCACAAUGGACGCAAGUCUGAUGGAGCAACGCCGCGUGAGUGAAGAAGGUUUUCGGAUCGUAAAGCUCUGUUGUUGGUGAAGAAGGAUAGAGGUAGUAACUGGCCUUUAUUUGACGGUAAUCAACCAGAAAGUCACGGCUAACUACGUGCCAGCAGCCGCGGUAAUACGUAG
rnacentral:rRNA from 1 species